rnacentral:rRNA from 1 species
UACGAAGGGAGCUAGCGUUGUUCGGAAUUACUGGGCGUAAAGGGCGCGUAGGCGGUUUUAUAAGUCAGAUGUGAAAGCCCCGGGCUCAACCUGGGAAUUGCAUUUGAGACUGAAUAGCUAGGGUGCGGUAGAGGGAAGCGGAAUUUCCGGUGUAGCGGUGAAAUGCGUAGAUAUCGGAAGGAACAUCAGUGGCGAAAGCGGCUUCCUGGACCAGCACCGACGUUCAGGCACGAAAGCGUGGGGAGCAAACAGG